GCCUGCAUGAAGUUGGAAUCGCUAGUAAUCGCGGAUCAGCAUGCCGCGGUGAAUACGUUCCCGGGCCUUGUACACACCGCCCGUCACACCAUGAGAGUCGGGAACACCCGAAGUCCGUAGCCUGACCGCAAGGGGGGCGCGGCCGAGGUGGGUUCGAUAAUUGGGGUGAAGUCGUAACAAGGUAUC
rnacentral:rRNA from 1 species